rnacentral:rRNA from 2 species
GUCUGAUGUGAAAGCCUUCGCGUCUUAACCGGAGAAGUGCAUCGGAAACUGGGAGACUUGAGUGCAGAAGAGGACAGUGGAACUCCAUGUGUAGCGGUGGAAUGCGUAGAUAUAUGGAAGAACACCAGUGGCGAAGGCGGGCUGUCUAGUCUGUAACUGACGCUGAGGCUCGAAAGCAUGGGUAGCGAACAGGAUUAGAUACCCUGGUAGUCCAUGCCGUAAACGAUGAGUGCUAAGUGUUGGAGGGUUUCCGCCCUUCAGUGCUGCAGCUAACGCAUUAAGCACUCCGCCUGGGGAGUACGACCGCAAGGUUGAAACUCAAAGGAAUUGACGGGGGCCCCGCACAAGCGGGUGGAGCAUGUGGUUUAAAUUCGAAGCUACCGCGAAGAACCUUACCAGGUCUUUGACAUCUUCUGCCAAUCUUUAGAAGAUAAAGACGUUCCCCUUCGGGGACAGGAAUGACAGGUGGUGCAUGGUUUGUCGUCAGCUCGUGUCGUGAGAUGUUGGGUUAAGUCCCGCAACGAGCGCAACCCUUAUUAUCAGUUGCCAGCAUUCAGUUGGGCACUCUGGUGAGACUGCCGGUGACAAACCGGAGGAAGGUGGGGAUGACGUCAAAUCAUCAUGCCCCUUAUGACCUGGGCUACACACGUGCUACAAUGGACGGUACAACGAGUUGCGAAGUCGUGAGGCUAAGCUAAUCUCUUAAAGCCGUUCUCAGUUCGGAUUGUAGGCUGCAACUCGCCUACAUGAAGUGGAAUCGCUAGUAAUCGCGGAUCAGCAUGCCGCG